GAUGAACGCUGGCGGCGUGCUUAAGACAUGCAAGUCGAACGCAGAGAUGCAGCAAUGUGUUUCUGAGUGGCGAAUGGGUGCGUAACACGUAGGUGAUCUGCCCAGAAGUGUGGAAUAACAGUCCGAAAGGACUGCUAAUACCGCAUGUGGCGCUUGGGGUUAGAGGCCCGAGCGCGAAAGGUCUUCGGAUCGCUUCUGGAGGAGCCUGCGGCCCAUCAGGUAGUUGGUAGGGUAAUGGCCUACCAAGCCAACGACGGGUAGGGGACCUCAGAGGGUGGCCCCCCACACUGGCACUGACACACGGGCCAGACUCCUACGGGAGGCAGCAGUCGGGAAUAUUGCCCAAUGCGCGAAAGCGUGAGGCAGCAACGCCGCGUGCGCGAUGAAGGCCUUCGGGUCGUAAAGCGCUUUUCAGUGGGAUGAGGAAGGACAGUACCACUGGAAUAAGGUACGGCUAACUACGUGCCAGCAGCCGCGGUAAU
rnacentral:rRNA from 1 species